UACGGAGGGUGCAAGCGUUAUCCGGAUUCACUGGGUUUAAAGGGGGCGUAGGUGGGUUGGUAAGUCAGUGGUGAAAUCUCCAGGCUUAACUUGGAAACUGCCAUUGAUACUAUCAAUCUUGAAUACCGUGGAGGUCAGCGGAAUAUGUCAUGUAGCGGUGAAAUGCUUAGAUAUGACAUAGAACACCAAUUGCGAAGGCAGCUGGCUACACGAAUAUUGACACUGAUGCACGAAAGCGUGGGGAUCAAACAGG
rnacentral:rRNA from 1 species